GACGAACGCUGGCGGCGUGCUUAACACAUGCAAGUCGAACGGAAAGGCCCUGCUUUUGUGGGGUGCUCGAGUGGCGAACGGGUGAGUAACACGUGAGUAACCUGCCCUUGACUUUGGGAUAACUUCAGGAAACUGGGGCUAAUACCGGAUAGGAGCUCCUGCUGCAUGGUGGGGGUUGGAAAGGUUCGGCGGUUGGGGCUGGACUCGCGGCUUAUCAGCUUGUUGGUGGGGUAGUGGCUUACCAAGGCUUUGACGGGUAGCCGUCCUGAGAGGGUGACCGGCCACAUUGGGACUGAGAUACGGCCCAGACUCCUACGGGAGGCAGCAGUGGGGAAUAUUGCACAAUGGGCGGAAGCCUGAUGCAGCAACGCCGCGUGCGGGAUGACGGCCUUCGGGUUGUAAACCGCUUUCGCCUGUGACGAAGCGUGAGUGACGGUAAUGGGUAAAGAAGCACCGGCUAACUACGUG
rnacentral:rRNA from 1 species